rnacentral:rRNA from 1 species
CGAGUAGCAUGGGGCACGUGAAAUCCCGUGUGAAUCUGCGAGGACCACCUCGUAAGGCUAAAUAUUCCUAAAUGACCGAUAGCGCAUAGUACCGUGAGGGAAAGGUGAAAAAGGAGGAUACUCCCAGUGAAAAGAACCUGAAACUUAAUGCUAUAAUCUGUUGGAGCUUUUAUAGUGACAGCGUGCCUUUUGCAUAAUGAGUCAGCGACUUUGUAUGGAUGGCGAGCUUAAACCGUUAGGUGUAGGCGUAGUGAAAUCGAAAAAUAAAAAACCAGUCAUCUGUGCAAAACCCGAAACUGAGUGAUCUAACCAUGAACAGGCUGAAGUUUUGAUGGCAACAUCUUUCUAAGGGCCGAACCCGUGUAUGUGGCAAAAUACUGGGAUGAUUUGUGGUUAGGGGUGAAAGGCCAAUCAAACUGAGAGAUAG